GAUGAACGCUGGCGGCGUGCCUAAUACAUGCAAGUCGAGCGAACGGACGAGAAGCUUGCUUCUCCGAUGUUAGCGGCGGACGGGUGAGUAACACGUGGAUAACCUACCUAUAAGACUGGGAUAACUUCGGGAAACCGGAGCUAAUACCGGAUAAUAUUUUGAACCGCAUGGUUCAAAAGUGAAAGACGGUCUUGCUGUCACUUAUAGAUUGAUCCGCGCUGCAUUAGCUAGUUGGUAAGGUAACGGCUUACCAAGGCAACGAUGCAUAGCCGACCUGAGAGGGUGAUCGGCCACACUGGAACUGAGACACGGUCCAGACUCCUACGGGAGGCAGCAGUAGGGAAUCUUCCGCAAUGGGCGAAAGCCUGACGGAGCAACGCCGCGUGAGUGAUGAAGGUCUUCGGAUCGUAAAACUCUGUUAUUAGGGAAGAACAUAUGUGUAAGUAACUGUGCACAUCUUGACGGUACCUAAUCAGAAAGCCACGGCUAACUACGUG
rnacentral:rRNA from 1 species